CACUAUGCAUGUAACAAGCGUAUAUUUACACGCCAUCCCUGGUCCGUCCAAAAGUAACGCAAGAGGGGUACCCUGUGCGUCGGUCUCCGAUGCUAAGGGGCACUGACCAAGCAGCAGUAUUUGUCGAGUUGGGAUUGAAAAUGUGUUGACUGGGCAGCUCA